UCUGGGCUGUCAAAACACGCAGCGGCGUGCUGAGUCCCAGUAACUCGCAUGACGAUUAAUGAGCGACUUGAUAAUUUAAUAUCGCGUGUGAUUAAAUUAUAAGGCGUGGGGGAGGGGAGCUCUGAGCUCCCUCGCCCGUCAGGGCCGACGCCGCCAAGCCUCCGGGUCUCCGCUGAGUGCGGACCGCGCUCUUCCUUCGCUCAGUGCCUGGCAGGCUCGGCAAGCGGCGGGUCCGCGCCUUCCCAAG
rnacentral:lncRNA from 1 species